CUUGCUCUGCUCAUCGCAUUAAUUGUAGUCGCAACAAAAGAUAAAACUGAACCACUGGAAAAUGGAUCGUCGUCUGCGGGCGUCGAAGAGUUCUGCCCGGAGACAACAAAGUUGACAUCUUCACCAGCACGCUCGUCAGGUCUAUACGACGACUUAUCCAAGGAUGAAAUCAUCGCUGUGCGAGAUUACAUUCUCAGUCAAUCGUCUCUGAAUGUCACACGCUAUGAAGAUGCGGCCAUCAACGACAACUACAUAUAUUUGAUCGAGUUGCAGCAACCGCCCAAAGAUGAAGCGCUCAAUUUUCUCGACAAUAACAACGCCCCGAAGCCUGAACGCAAGGCACGAGUUGUCAUUUACUAUGGUGGACAAAGCAACCCGGAGGUGAGAGAAUUCCUGGUGAGUCCAGCAGCGAAACCGACAAAUCAUCGUGAAACAACCGGCCCGGGUCAGAAAUAUCCGAUCCCAUUCAACACGCGAUUUGCAGACCAGAAGGAGCUUGCCAUAAUGGAUAGCAUGUUAAAGAACGUCACGAAAUAUGUUUACCGGCUACUCCACGAGAGCUAUGAUGGCUACACGUUCUGGAACUGCACUGACCGAUGCUUGACGUGGGGCCUCUCAGCUCCCAGUACUUUCAAGGCUAAUCAGCGCAAACAGUGGAUAUGGUUCAUGAGAAAUGUUAUUGGUUUUUACAUCCAUCCCGUCGGCUUUGAAGUCCUCUUAGAUACCGGUGGAAAUGACAUGUCAAGCUGGACAGUUGAAAAACUUUAUUACAACAACGCAACCUAUGAAACCGUCGAAGAGUUAAUGAAUGCAUACGACGCUGGAUCCAAAAUGGUUUUCGAGGCACCUGAGGACAAAGGGCUGUUUUCUACUUAUAAACGCCGCGGGGAUCCACAACCCAAAAAGCCAUUGAGAAACCCACAGAUCUUCGAGCCUGAUGGCAAACGGUACACGGUCAGCGGACGUCACGUGGAGUACAUGGGCUGGAGUUUUGACUUCCGUUCCCGCACCUCAUCUGGUAUACAGCUCUUUAACAUCAAAUUCAAGGGCGACAGAAUUGUUUACGAGCUGAGUAUUCAGGAAGCCGAGGCGUUCUAUUCUGGUUGGAGCCCCAAGCCCCUGCACACCAAUUACCUUGACGCCGCUUGGAACAUGGGUUCCAUGACUUUUGAACUGUUGCGGGGUGUGGACUGCCCUAACACUGCCACUUUCUUUGACCUAAUCCAUUUCGUUGGCCGGAAGGAUCCAGCAAAAUACAAAAAUGCAGUUUGUUUGUUUGAACAAGACAUGGGAGUGCCACUGCGCAGACAUUAUGACACGAACUUUGAUGGUGGUUAUAAUUUCUAUGGAGGAAUGCCUGGAAGCGCUCUGAUUCUGCGCACUGUAGCAACAACCUACAACUACGAUUAUGUGUUCGACUACAUCUUCUAUCCUAAUGGUGUCUUGGAGGUUCGUUCAUCCGCCAGCGGUUUUCCUCAAACAACCUUUUACACGGUAGAUGAAGAGCCAUACGCUAGUCAAAUUCAUCCGAAAAUGGCUGGUAGCAUGCAUGAUCAUAUUUUCAACUACAAAGUCGACAUUGAUGUGUUUGGAACCAAACAGUCUUACGAGACUAUUGAAGUUGGACUACAGAACAUUACCAACCCUUGGUUCCCUGAGGAUUAUCACCUGCAGAAGGUUCUUCAUCGUCGUUUGAAAAAAAACGAAACAGAAGCUGUGUAUCACUACGAGUUUGACAAGCCCACCUGCAUGAACUUCUUCAAUAAGAACGAGCUGAACAGCUAUGGCGUCCAUCGUGGAAUCCGCGUUCAAAUUCGGGACAUGAUGAAACAGAUGUACCCAGAAAGCUGGCCAGUGGUGAGAGGGGCGACAUGGUCCCUAAAUCAACUGACCGUAACCAAGCGAAAGGAAGCAGAAGAAAAGAGCUCCUGCAUCUACAAUCAGCAAGACAUGGUUGACCCUGUGGUGGACUUCAGCAAGUAUGUUGAUGGCGAGAACAUCGAGGAUGAAGAUCUGGUUGCUUGGGUAACAAUGGGAAUGAUUCACAUUCCACACUCAGAAGACAUCCCUAACACCGCCACUCCAGGCAGCUCUGCCAGUUUUCUUCUCAGGCCCUUCAACUACUUUGAUGAAGACCCUUCCAUGGCCUCUUAUGAUGGGGUUUUAAUCAUGCCUUCUGAUGACGGGGCAAAGAUCGACACUUUUGGAACUCCAACGAAGCCGCCAUGUGCUCCAAAGGAAAAGCCCAUGGAAUUCUACGGUCUGUAUGGAGACUACUAGAUAACAACAUAAGGAACGGGCUGAGCGAACUGAGGGUACAUAUUCAAGCGCUGAUAAUUUGCAGAACCGUCGUAGAAUGCUUUAUUUUAUUAAACUUUGUAUAAUCAUAGUUCGUUCGGUUUUAUUGAAGUCCUCAUAUGACUAAUUUAAUGUAGUAGGAACUUUAAGUAGCACUGUAUCCGAGAUAGAAUUAGUGGGAAGGUCGACUGGGACUCGGAGCAGUUGACUAGCCCUUCAUCACUGACUCGAUUAGGUGAAAAUUACGCUCAUCGUGUUACCAUAUUUUAGAAAUCCCUUAUUUCUUUUUGUUUGAAAAUUAGUUAGAUGAAAUAUAAACAUGUUCUGUUGUUUUCAAUGAAGGAUAACUGCUGACAAGAUAUUGCACAUUUAGAACAUUUAGUUUAGCAAUUCAAGCGGUAAUAUGUGGUUGGAAGUUGUUUUCUGUAAUUAGUAGCCGUAACUGCAUCCAGACGUCUCUUUUUGAAACAGACGACUCCCACAAGCAGCUAUGAAAUCAGCUUCCUAAAAUUUGUUUUCCUCUAGCAAUCCAGCAUUUGUAAUUGCUAUCAUUGCUAUCUGUGCUUUUGUAAUAAACAUGUGAUGCUUGCACGUUAUUUAGAGCAUCCAGUUUCAAAUUUAAACACAUUGAUUUUCAAUAAAUUAAAUUCGAGAAGA